AGCAUUGGCGGUUCUAGGGGCGGGGCCACAGGGGCACUGGCCCCUGCUGAAAUAUGAUUGGCCCCUGUAGUGCCCCUGUCCUGUCACUCAUCUGUCCUUUGUGCGGUGAUGAGAUUAUAGGUGGAUGCAAUUCCGAGUCCAAACACUAGUGGCCGUGUGGCGCUAAGGAGCAAAAUAGUGUGUGAAAUCCAACAGAAGAAGAUUUGAAAGAUUCCAAGAAGGGAGAACUUUUCAACCGACAUCGGAUCUGAUGAGAGUCCACGUUAUGAGGAGUUUGUUGCUGCAAACUGGGACAAGACUCUCUCCAAUUCAGACAACCAGAGUGAAGUUAAUGACUCAACCUUCCAUCCUGCUGGGCCACCAGAGUCACCAAUCAAUGCUAAUCCUGCAGGAUCAAAUGACAUCUUCCAGUGUGAUGCACAGAAUCCUGCGCAGACAUCAGAACGGUGUUCUGUUCCAGUAGGACCUGGUGGUGUGCUUCUCAUUUUGUAAAGGCUCUUUAAAUUUAAUUGAAUUUUGCAGUCAGUCACUUGCAGAUUCUGAAUGCCAUGAAUGUUAAAGGUUGAGAGAUAUAAGCAACUGACUCAGACUUAUUUAAUUGACUUCCCACCAGACAUUUCCCAGUCAAGAGCAGAGGGUCCUGUGAUAUUCUUCUGGUGUUUUUUCCACACACAAACAUAUUUUAACCUGAUAUUUGUGGCUUUGCAAAAUAAAUUGAAUGCUAAAAUUUCUCAAA